rfam:Schistosoma curassoni strain Dakar, Senegal genome assembly, scaffold: SCTD_scaffold0000187
AUCCAGCUGACGAGUCCAAAAUAGGACCAAACGCGUGUUCUGGAU